GACGAACCGUGCGAACGUUAUUCGGAAUCACUGGGCUUAAAGCGCGUGUAGGCGGGCCGGCGCGUCCGUUCGCUGAAAGCCCCCGGCUCAACCGGGGAAGCGGCGGGGAUACGGCCGGCCUGGAGGGGGGUAGGGGGCGCCGGAACUCACGGUGGAGCGGUGAAAUGCGUUGAGAUCGUGAGGAACGCCCGCGGCGAAAGCGGGCGCCUGGACCCCGCCUGACGCUGAGACGCGAAAGCCAGGGGAGCGAACGGG
rnacentral:rRNA from 1 species